rnacentral:rRNA from 1 species
CUACGUGCCAGCAGCCGCGGUAAUACGGAAGGUCCAGGCGUUAUCCGGAUUUAUUGGGUUUAAAGGGAGCGUAGGCCGCCUCUUAAGCGUGUUGUGAAAUGCGGGUGCUCAACAUCCGACUUGCAGCGCGAACUGGGGGGCUUGAGUGCGCCGAAAGUAGGCGGAAUUCGUGGUGUAGCGGUGAAAUGCUUAGAUAUCACGAAGAACUCCGAUUGCGAAGGCAGCUUACUGUAGCGCAACUGACGCUGAUGCUCGAAAGCGUGGGUAUCGAACAGGAUUAGAUACCCUGGUAGUCCACGCGGUAAACGAUGGAUGCUCGUUGUUGGCCCUUAUGGUCAGUGACCAAGCGAAAGCGUUAAGCAUCCCACCUGGGGAGUACGCCGGCAACGGUGAAACUCAAAGGAAUUGACGGGGGCCCGCACAAGCGGAGGAACAUGUGGUUUAAUUCGAUGAUACGCGAGGAACCUUACCCGGGCU